CCCUCCCUGCCUGCCUCUCCGGCAGGCGCACACCCGCAUUCGCACACACGGACACACGGACACACGGACACACAGACACACACACACACCCGCACCCCCAGCGCUGCGGAUGCCGGAGCCGCCGCCCCGGGGCCGGGAUGCUCGGAGCGGGCCGGGCUCAGCGAGUGGAGGCGGUGGGAGGGCGCAGGGGGGGUCGUACCCUGCCGACCCCCCUUUUUUUCCAGCCCCCCGAGCGGCUCCUGCUCCCCCCGCGGGGACAAGUGCGGCGGGCAGGGGGCGCGGGAGGACCCCGGCCGCCAGGGGCUGGACGCGAGGGGUCGCGAGGGGUGGCGGCUGCCUGCCGGCACCGUUUGCACCCAAAAAAAAGGAGCCCCGAGCGGCUGAGCUGCGCUCAGUCCCUGCAAGACGCACGGCAAAUGUCGCCCCAAGUGCGGCUUUCCGCUCCUCGCCUCCCAGCGCCUCUUCCCGGCCUUAGCUUUGACCUUUAUCGUCUCCUUUCCUCCCUCGCUAGCCCAUCGUAAGCCUUCGGGUAUUUUUUUUUCCCCUCUCUUCUUCCUCCCACCUCCCGCAGUCUGUGCUGGCUGAACGUCUUAAGGAUGGCUCUGCGCUGGCUCUAAGCCACCUUUGUGUCCUCCUGCUCCUGGACCGUUUCAAGGCUUUUAGCGUGAUUUAAGCGCUGCGAGCACCACAAGUUCAGGUGCUUCACAAGGGGAAAACUGGCCAUGCAUUUCAUCCUCUUUGAAAUCUGCAAGGAGUAGAGACAUAAUCAAUAGAAAAAGAGAAGAUCAGGAAUAUUACAGUGAAAAGAGGAGUAUGAACAGCAAUUUGACUGUCAACAGGCAUCAGUAUUGAUGUGUGCGAGUGAAGCAUGGCAAGGCAAAGAUCAAAGGGGGAGGAUAACUGAAACCACGCAUCUGUGAAUGACAAGUCAGCGUUUUCUGAACAAACUUCUGAGAGCAUCACGACUUCAAGUGCAGGCCUCUGUAAUGCGAAGAAAGAUGAGUCUAGGUGAAGAUCUAACAAAGGUAGAAAAGUUUUCUGUCACAAAUAGUGCCUCUGAAAAUUCACUGGAAAUAGC